AUGGCAACUACCGUGCUGGCUAAUAUCCUUAUCGCUGCGGUCAUUUCAAAUGCUUUUCUAGCAGCCGCUUCUCCUGCCAUGCCUGCAAAACCAAAGCUUCCAACAGCUCAGAGGCAGAUGUCAUUGCAGAUUCCUGUAGCUGAUCAACAAGAAAGGAUCCUGAAAUUUUUGUCAGUGUUUGAUGCACAAAAAAGUGCCAGUCCCAUAGCAGACCCUAAAAUCAGUGGAAUCAAAGCUUACGACAAGACACAUGGAAAGAAAGUCGAAACGGGAGGUGUAAAUGAAGGUCCAUCUGAUCCUCCAGCUGAACCGAGAAAGGACCUCCCGGCAAUAAGUCCUCUACAUGGGAAGAGCUUCUGGAUGCCUGCACUGCCAACCUCCUGGAAAAUUAAGAGAGCUUGCUUUUGGAAAUACUGCAUUGAACGCAAGUAGUGUUUAACCUUCAAGUUGAUGGGUCACUCUGAAGACUGUAUCUAGGAUACUGAAGCUGACAAUGAAAUCUUCAAAACCCGAAGAAUUUUCUACACAAGUGCCUGAAGAGCAAAUAAUAAAGUAACUGCCUGAGUAUAUAUGCCUUGCGUA
rnacentral:lncRNA from 1 species